AUUGAACGCUAGCGGGAUGCUUUACACAUGCAAGUCGAACGGCAGCGCGGACUUCGGUCUGGCGGCGAGUGGCGAACGGGUGAGUAAUGUAUCGGAACGUGCCCAGUAGCGGGGGAUAACUACGCGAAAGCGUAGCUAAUACCGCAUACGCCCUACGGGGGAAAGCAGGGGAUCGUAAGACCUUGCACUAUUGGAGCGGCCGACAUCGGAUUAGCUAGUUGGUGAGGUAACGGCUCACCAAGGCGACGAUCCGUAGCUGGUUUGAGAGGACGACCAGCCACACUGGGACUGAGACACGGCCCAGACUCCUACGGGAGGCAGCAGUGGGGAAUUUUGGACAAAGGGGGCAACCCUGAUCCAGCCAUCCCGCGUGUGCGAUGAAGGCCUUCGGGUUGUAAAGCACUUUUGGCAGGAAAGAAACGUAGCGGGCUAAUACCCCGUGGAACUGACGGUACCUGCAGAAUAAGCACCGGCUAACUACGUG
rnacentral:rRNA from 1 species